AAUAUUGGACAAUGGGCGAAAGCCUGAUCCAGCCAUGCCGCGUGUGUGAAGAAGGUCUUCGGACUUGACGGUACCCAAGAAGAAAGCCCCGGCUAACUACGUGCCAGCAGCCGCGGUAAUACGUAGGGGGCGAGCGUUGUCCGGAAUUACUGGGCGUAAAGGGUGCGUAGGCGGCCCUUUAAGUCAGAUGUGAAAGGCCACGGCUUAACCGUGGGAUUGCAUUUGAAACUGGAGGGCUUGAGUGUCGGAGAGGGUAGUGGAAUUCCCAGUGUAGCGGUGAAAUGCGUAGAUAUUGGGAGGAACACCAGUGGCGAAGGCGACUACCUGGACGAUAACUGACGCUGAGGCACGAAAGCUAGGGGAGCAAAC
rnacentral:rRNA from 1 species